rnacentral:rRNA from 1 species
CGAAAAGUAGAGAAGGGCAUAUGGUGGAUGCCUUGGUGCCAAGAGGCGAUGAAGGACGUAGCACGUUGCGAAAAGCUUCGGGGAGUUGCGAGCGAGCGUUGAUCCGGAGAUGUCCGAAUGGGGAAACCCGGCGGUCCGUGGGCCGUCAUCAUGCGAUGAAUCCAUAGUUGCAUGAAGCGAACGUGGGGAACUGAAACAUCUAAGUACCCGCAGGAAAAGAAAUCAAACGAGAUUCUGUGAGUAGCGGCGAGCGAAAGCGGAACAGGCCAGCGUCAACAAGUCGAUACAUUUUAAUUGAAUGCUCUGGAAAGGGCAACCGAAGAGGGUGACAGUCCCGUAGGUGAAAGGGUGUAUUGGUGGGACGCGAAGAGUAGGGCGGGGCACGUGAAACCCUGUCUGAACAUGGGAGGACCUCCUUCCAAGCCUAAAUACUUCUUGGCGACCGAUAGUGAACGAGUACCGUGAGGGAAAGGUGAAAAGAACCCCGAUAAGGGGAGUGAAAUAGAACCUGAAACCGUAUGCUUACAAGCAGUGGGAGGGCGGUGUCAAGGCUGCCUGACCGCGUACCUUUUGUAUAAUGGGUCAGCGAGUUGAUUUUGGUGGCAAGCUUAAGCCGAUAGGUGUAGGCGAAGCGAAAGCGAGUCUGAAUAGGGCGUUAAGUCACCAGGAUCAGACCCGAACCUGGGUGAUCUAUCCAUGGACAGGGUGAAGGUGCGGUAACACGCACUGGAGGCCCGAACCCACUCAUGUUGAAAAAUGAGGGGAUGAUCUGUGGAUAGGAGUGAAAGGCUAAACAAACCCAGAAAUAGCUGGUUCUCCCCGAAAACUAUUUAGGUAGUGCCUUGUGUAUGAUUACCGGGGGUAGAGCACUGGAUGGGCUAGGGGGACACACCGUCUUACCAAACCUAACCAAACUACGAAUACCGAGCUGCUCCACCCCGCGUCAUCCCUUCAUUCCCUCCUCUGCCUGCUUCAACAAAAACACCCUCCCUGGUGUCCCCUUCCUAAAACAAACAGAAAAAUAAAGCUUCCUGGCAGUGUCCUACUUUCCCACAACUUAAGUUGCAGUAUCAUCAGCGCUGAAGGGCUUAACUGCCGAGUUCGGUAUGGGGUC